rnacentral:rRNA from 1 species
UACAGAGGGUGCGAGCGUUAAUCGGAAUUACUGGGCGUAAAGCGUGCGUAGACGGUUUCGUAAGUCGGGUGUGAAAGCCCCGGGCUCAACCUGGGAAUUGCAUUCGAGACUGCGUAGCUAGGGUGCGGAAGAGGGAAGCGGAAUUUCCGGUGUAGCGGUGAAAUGCGCAGAUAUCAGGAGGAACACCGGUGGCGAAGGCGGGUCUCUGGGCCGAUAUUGACAUUGAGGCAUGAAAGCGUGGGGAGCGAACAGG